rnacentral:pre_miRNA from 1 species
UGGUGCGUGUGAGCAGGAUGGAGAAGCAGGGCACGUGCAUUACUAACUCUCCCACCCCCCAGCAGCACUUCAACCAAGAAGAAAACCGUUCUGAGUUAGUUGUUCAUGUGCCCAUCUUCCCCAUCAUGAUACCACUGCAUCG